rnacentral:rRNA from 1 species
AAUAUUGGACAAUGGGCGCAAGCCUGAUCCAGCAAUACCGCGUGUGUGAAGAAGGCCCUAGGGUUGUAAAGCACUUUCAAUKGGGAGGAAAACCUGCCGGUCAAUACCCGGUAGCUUGACAUUACCUUUAGAAGAAGCACCGG